rnacentral:rRNA from 1 species
UACGUAGGGGGCAAGGCGUUGUCCGGAUUUAUUGGGCGUAAAGAGCGUGUAGGCGGCCAAGCAGGUCAGCUGUGAAAACUCGAGGCUCAACCUCGAGACGUCGGUUGAAACCGCUUGGCUAGAGUCCGGAAGAGGAGAGUGGAAUUCCCGGUGUAGCGGUGAAAUGCGCAGAUAUCAGGAAGAACACCCGUGGCGAAGGCGGUUCUCUGGGCAUUACCUGACGCUGAGGAGCGAAAGCGUGGGGAGCGAACAGG